UACGUAGGCAGCAAGCGUUGUUCGGAAUUACUGGGCGUAAAGAGUGUGUAGGCGGUGCUCUAAGUUCGGUGUGAAAUCCCCAGGCUCAACCUGGGAACUGCAUUCGAGACUGCAUUGCUAGAGUAUGGGAGAGGGAAGUGGAAUUUCAGGUGUAGCGGUGAAAUGCGUAGAUAUCUGAAGGAACAUCAGUGGCGAAAGCGACUUCCUGGACCAAUACUGACGCUCAUGUGCGAAAGCGUGGGGAGCAAACAGG
rnacentral:rRNA from 1 species